UGAACACCUGCAGAAUCCAAAUGCAGUGCUUGUCAGCGGUGGUUUUUAUUCUCCUCAAAGCCAUGAUGAAGUUUUACACGCUCAUUCUUCUGUGUUGUCUGUUCAACUUCACACAACAGCUCAAUCAACAAGAUCGCUGUGUGUGUGAACUGACGAACAAAGAGAAGGCAUUCCCUCAUGAAACCCUCAACUCAGUGAAC